rnacentral:rRNA from 1 species
AUGCUCUCCGUCGAGCCGGACCGCCUCUCUUGGAAGUGGAGUCUCCGUGGCGUCUACUCCGCCAAAUCGGUCUACAUCGCCACUUUCAGUGGCUCCACGGGCUGCGCUGCAUGGAAGCUCACCUUGAAGAACUGGGCGCCUCCGAGCGUCCGAUUCUUCCAUUGGCUCGUCCGCCUCGACCGGUGUUGGAUGGCAGACCGCCUCGCCCGCCGCGGCCUGCAGCACCCCACGCGAUGCCCCCUCUGCGACCAGGCCCCGAGACCAUGCACCACCUCAUCCUCGCCUGCCCCUUCGCCCGGUAGAUCUGGUACGAGGUGCUGCACUAGCUCCGUCUCCUGCGUCUCGCCCAACAGCGAGUCCUCACUCAGCGACUGGUGGCAAAUGGCGCGGCAGUUCACUCCAAAACCUAUGCGCAAGGGCAUUGCCUCCGCGACCCUCCUCGUCCCAUGGAUGAUUUGGAAACACCGUAACGAUUGCGUCUUCAACCGAGGACGGCCCUCGGCGAAUGACCUGCUUACAAAGAUCAAGGAUGAGGCUGCCCUCUGGGCCAGAGCAGGCCUCUAG